rnacentral:rRNA from 1 species
UAGCGUAGGGUGCGAGCGUUAAUCGGAAUUACUGGGCGUAAAGCGUGCGCAGGCGGUCGCGUUAAGACAGGUGUGAAAAGCCCCGAGCUUAACUUGGGAAUUGCGCUUGUGACUGGCGUGCUAGGAGUGUGGCAGAGGGAGGUGGAAAUUCCACGUGUAGCAGUGAAAUGCGUAGAGAUGUGGAGGAACACCGGAUGGCGAAGGCAGCCUCCUGGGCCAGCACAUGACGCUCGAUGACACGAAAGCGUGGGGAGCAAAC